rnacentral:rRNA from 1 species
CCCGCUGAACUUAAGCAUAUCAAUAAGCGGAGGAAAAGAAACUAACAAGGAUUCCCCUAGUAACUGCGAGUGAACCGGGAAAAGCUCAAAUUUUGAAUCUGGCGGCCUUCAGGCCGUCCGAGUUGUCAUCUAGAGAAGCGUCUUCCGCGCUGCACCGAGUAUAAGUUUCGUGGAAUGGAACGUCGAAGAGGAGUGAUAAUCCCGACUUUGACACCUACUGCCACGCCUAUAUGAUGCGCUCUCGACGAGACGAGUUGGUUGGUACUGCAGCUCAAAUAGGGUGCGUAAAUUCCAUCUAAAGCUUAAUACAGACGAAACACCGAUAGCGAACAAGUAUCCGUGAGGAAAAGAUGAAAAGAACUUUGGAAAGAGAGUUAAACAGUACGUGAUAUUGCUGAAAGGGAAACGCUUGACGUCAGUCGCGUCGUCCGGGGAUCAGCCUUGCUCUCUUGCUCGGUGUAUUUCCUGGGCGACGGGUCAGCAUCGGUUUCGACCAUCGGAAAAUGGCUCGAGGAACGUCGCACCCUUCGGGCGUGCGCUAUAGACUAGGGUCGAAUACGGCGAUUGGGACCGAGGAACUCAUCACCACCUUAGGGUUCGCGGCUUCGGCCCACGUCAACGUGCUUAGGAUGCUGGCAUAAUGGCCUUAAGCGACCCGUCUUGAAACACGG